AGACAAUGUGGGCUUCAAUGUAAAGAAC
rnacentral:piRNA from 1 species